UACGAAGGGGGCUAGCGUUGUUCGGAAUUACUGGGCGUAAAGCGCACGUAGGCGGACAUUUAAGUCAGGGGUGAAAUCCCGGGGCUCAACCCCGGAACGGCCUUUGAUACUGGGUGUCUUGAGUUCGGAAGAGGUGAGUGGAAUUGCGAGUGUAGAGGUGAAAUUCGUAGAUAUUCGCAGGAACACCAGUGGCGAAGGCGGCUCACUGGUCCGAUACUGACGCUGAGGAGCGAAAGCAUGGGGAGCGAACAGG
rnacentral:rRNA from 1 species